rnacentral:lncRNA from 1 species
UACACCUAUGACUUAACCCAAUCUCAUAAUCUUAGACUCAAUCCUAACCCAAAUAUGAGCUAGCCCCUCAAGGUUCAAAACUCCUGAACCUCAAGACCCGAAAUGCUGACAGCCUUUCAUCCUAGGGCCUAAAUUAGCCUUAGAAACCCCAUGACCACCUCAUGGACUUUGAACUUUGGCCUUAGCUUUGGUCCUCUGAGCUUUGGGAGCACCACAUGAGGCCCAACAAUCUCCACCUU